rnacentral:rRNA from 1 species
GGGGGGGGGGGGGGGGGGGGGGGGGGGGGGCGGGUCGGGCGGGAGGGCCGGGCGGGGGGGGGGUGGUCGGGUGGGGAGCGGGUGGGGAAGACGGGAGUAAGCUGGCCUUGACGGUGGGGUGACUUCAGGAAACUGGGGCUAAUACCGGAUAGGAGCUCCUGCUGCAUGGUGGGGGUUGGAAAGGGUCGGCGGUGGGGGAUGGACUCGCGGCUUAUCAGCUUGUUGGUGGGGUAGUGGCUUACCAAGGCUUUGACGGGUAGCCGGCCUGAGAGGGUGACCGGCCACAUUGGGACUGAGAUACGGCCCAGACUCCUACGGGAGGCAGCAGUGGGGAAUAUUGCACAAUGGGCGGAAGCCUGAUGCAGCAACGCCGCGUGCGGGAUGACGGCCUUCGGGUUGUAAACCGCUUUCGCCUGUGACGAAGCGUGAGUGACGGUAAUGGGUAAAGAAGCACCGGCUAACUACGUG